GACGAACGCUGGCGGCGUGCUUAACACAUGCAAGUCGAACGAUGAAGCCUAGCUUGCUAGGUGGAUUAGUGGCGAACGGGUGAGUAAUACGUGAGUGACCUACCUUUAACUCUGGGAUAAGCCUGGGAAACUGGGUCUAAUACCGGAUACGACCAAUCUCCGCAUGGAGUGUUGGUGGAAAGCGUUAUGUAGUGGUUAUAGAUGGGCUCACGGCCUAUCAGCUUGUUGGUGAGGUAACGGCUCACCAAGGCGACGACGGGUAGCCGGCCUGAGAGGGUGACCGGCCACACUGGGACUGAGACACGGCCCAGACUCCUACGGGAGGCAGCAGUGGGGAAUAUUGCACAAUGGGCGCAAGCCUGAUGCAGCGACGCCGCGUGAGGGAUGACGGCCUUCGGGUUGUAAACCUCUGUUAGCAGGGAAGAAGAGAAAUUGACGGUACCUGCAGAGAAAGCGCCGGCUAACUACGUGCCAGCAGCCGCGGUAAUACGUAGGGCGCGAGCGUUGUCCGGAAUUAUUGGGCGUAAAGAGCUUGUAGGCGGUUUGUCGCGUCUGCUGUGAAAGGCCGGGGCUUAACCCCGUGUAUUGCAGUGGGUACGGGCAGACUAGAGUGCAGUAGGGGAGACUGGAACUCCUGGUGUAGCGGUGGAAUGCGCAGAUAUCAGGAAGAACACCGAUGGCGAAGGCAGGUCUCUGGGCUGUAACUGACGCUGAGAAGCGAAAGCAUGGGGGAGCGAACAGG
rnacentral:rRNA from 1 species